rnacentral:rRNA from 1 species
UGCUUAAUUGCGUUUCAAAUUUUUAACCGAGGACCGGGUUUUGGUUUGGCUAGUGGUCCUACGAUGACUGUGAACUGUCAUGUCUUCGGAUGUACGACUAUCGGUCUAGGAUCACAUGACUUGCCCCUGGGACUCUUUUGAACGCAACGGACGUGAUUGCAACCCCUUGUUGAGAUUAGAGAUAGUCUCGAUAUUCACUGGCCAAACUGGCUGCUUUAUGCAGUCUUGUUGAAUGGUGGAUAAACUCGGGGGACUGCUGACUAUAACCAUUUCUCAAAACAGAGGAAGGUUGCGGCAAUAACAGGUCUGUGAUGCCCUCAGAUGUCCCGGGCUGCACACGUGCUACAAUGAGUGGCGCAAUGUGCUAAUGUUUUAAGGGAUAAGCGUGCGGCCAGUAGAACGUCGGCAAUUGCCCUGGCGUCUUCUACCGCACGAUUAUCAGCCUUCCCUUAACAGGGCGGGCAACCUUUUCAAAAUACCGGUUUGAUGUUAAAGUAUAGAGUCGUUUUUUUUGGAUGGUGGUUUACGAACCAAUACCAUCCGCAACUGCUCGCGAGUUUGUGGUUCUGGUGACUCAUGGUGGGGACCGAUGUUUGUAAUUGUUUGUCGCGUGUCAACUAGGAAUGCCUUGUACUGUCGAUUCACUAAGUUAUUGGGAAUACGUCCCUGCCCUUUGUACACACCGCCCGUCGCUCUUACC